CAUAAAGAGCUUGCUAGAUCUGACAUGUCAGACAGUAGCAGACAUGAUUAAGGGAAAGACGCCUGAGGAGAUACGCAAGACGUUCAACAUCAAGAAUGACUUCACUCCUGAGGAAGAGGAAGAAGUCAGGAGGGAGAAUGCCUGGGCAUUCGAGUGAAUUUGAGUCUGUUAAGCGUCCAUAUCUGUAGAUAGAUCUGCAAUAUACUUUAGUAGAUGCUAUGAAUAACUUAUAUUAGUAAGUGUGUGACUGUUGUUUCUCGGACCUUCUGGCUUUGGCUGUUGAACCUCUUUUUCUCUGUUAUGCCAUGGUUUCUUGGUAGCCGAUGUCCAUAUUCAUUGAUCUAUUAUUGGAAAUUCAUAUUGUUUCUUGUGUUUAUCAUCACUGGUGCAUUUAGCUUCUUUACUCUUUACUUAAAUGUAAAGGUCAAUUCCUUGGCUUGUGCAAUGGUUUGGUUGUGUUGUUUUCUGUCACAAAAGGAUGUCAGACUAGAGAGUGUAUGUGAGUAGUCUUACAUGGGCAUGGUAUUUGAAGGCACAUAAUGGCCUAGGAUUUGUAGGUUCUUACCUUGAAUCCCGCUUUAGACAGACUCAGUUGAGAGUUUGAGUGUCACUAAGAGAUGGAGAAGUCCACUUUGGUGGGUGAUACAGUGUGAUGGCCUUGGUCCAAUGAGUAGUGCAUUAUUAGAAGAACCAAUAUUUAUCAUAAAUAAGAGCUGUAUAUGUGAAGUUUGACCUUCAUAUCUUAUUCACGAUAAUUUCUUCUCUGAUUUUUUUCCUCAUUAAACGGCUGCACAACUAUACUUGGGUGUGGCAGGAUAAUUUGUUUGGUCUUAUGUUUCACUGUUCUUAUUAUGUGAUUAUUUCCAUGACAUGUUUGUUUCAGUCGGAUCUGGGCAACGUUACCUGUUGUGGCAGGAUGACUGGCCAGACCUUGUAUUCCUGUUGUUGUUUACACGACAUUAUGUCCCUGUUGGUUGAAGCUGUUGGUUGAAGGUAGCUGGUAUGGAAAUAUAUUUGCAAUUUUGCCAAUGUAGUUCGGUGAGUGAUGGUCAUUUUCUUUUUAAAAAUAAAAAUAAAAAUAAAAUCAUAAAAUUAUGAAUGGGCUAUGAGGAGAUCCUUUUCGUCAUUUAAAUAUGCGGCUAAUACAUGAACAAAGAAGAAAAAAAUAAUAAUACUCCAAACAGAGUAUACUCCAAGAUCAAAUGGUUCCGGCUAGUGACAUUAUGCGAAUGAAAAAUGGUUCUGCCAGGUGUUGAUUAUUGUGAUUUGAUGAACUUGACACAUGAGAUUGAUCUAUUUGAUACUUGUGAUUGAUCUACUUGAUACAUGCGAUAUAUUCAUUUGAUACUUGUGAUGGAUAUUCUUUAUCCUUGUUCGUUGUUGAACUCUGACUAUUGGAUUGUGAUUGUUAACCCUUGUGAAUUGUGUAUUGUGAAACUGUUAGAUUGGGUUGAUUUUUUGCAGGUUAUAGUUUGAGGAGGUUUGGUUGGGAUGAAUGGAGUACUUGUAUUCUAGCUAAUUUUGUCUUGUUUAUUUGGUUACUUAUUGAGUACCGUAUUGUUUGGUACUCACUCCUCAUUUUUACACUUGUGUAGGUUCUAAGUCUGGAGCCAUGUGAUUGUUCUUCUUCUGGUUACAUCUGAGGAAACAUUGAGAAGUAGUUGCUUGUCAUCUGGCGGGCCCUCUUGUUUCUUGUUUUAUAUUUUGUUCUAUUUGAGAAAUAAAGACAUUGAGACUUGUAAUUAUCUUUCAAUUUCGCACUUUAUACAUUAGUGGCUUGUACACGUGACAAUUAGUUUUGGAGGUUAUAUUAGAAUGAAUAAGUUUUCCACUCUUAUGUUAUUCUUGUUUUACUUUUCACAUAUUUUUGUUUCGUUGGGUUGAGGCUGACUUGUCUUGAUGGAAAUACACGAGUGUCAUUACGCCCAUUUUUGGAUCGUGACAAUCUCUAUCGAUUGUUGUGAUUUUUGACCUGCUUUCUAAAAAAAUGAAAAAAGGAAGAUAUGGGCAGUAAUUAAAACAGAAAUCAACUUGUGGCUAAAACUUACCCUUGAAAGCAAACAAAUAUGGACACUUCAUUGAAAGCUUGAAAAAAAAUGGAUUAUCACAUUUCUAAAGAAAGAAAGAAGGAAUGAUCUUCGAUGUACAUAUAGAUAUACUUUUUUAAAAAUAUUAUAAUGUAAGUGUAAUUGGUAAUGACUUUACUAAUUGAUGGCUAAAGAUUAAAAUAUCCUUUUACUUUCCUCAAUGGACUUCUAACGCACAUGUUAAAACUAGAAGUGUUCACAGGUCUAUUUAGAUUAGUUAUUGUUCAAAAUCAAAAUCAAAUCAAUUUAAUUAGUUUUUAAAUUAUUAAAAUCAAAUCAAAACUAAAUAAUUAAUAUAUAUAUAGUUCGAUUAUUAAUAAUACACUAAAAUAAAAUAAACGAUUCAUAGAGAAAAAACGACAACAAUGCAUUUGAAAGGAAUAAAUUGUUUUCGUGUCAUUUUAUAAUUCUUAUACCAGAACUACAAUUAUGUUAACUUCCUGCUUAUAUUGUUAACUAAUCCACUGUACUAUAACAACAACAACAAUAUCAUUCCCAUUGAAAUGCGCACACCUUACUACGGUUUCCAAAAGACCCCCUCCUCAAGUGUAUCGAACCCAUGGAAAAGAUGGAGAAAACAUGAGACAUAAAAUCGUAGCAAUAGUAAAAUGUAAUGAUAAUUGAAAUGCAAUAAACAACAAAUGGAAAGAACUAUUAGGGCACGACUGGUCCUAAGAAAUACAUUAUACCUCUACAUGACAAGACACCACUCUAACCCCUACUAGCCUUUUACCCUAAUACGCGUCUCUAGUUCUUCAUAUCUAAAGUCAUGUCCUAAGUAAUAUGAAGCUGCAACAUGUCAUUUUUACCCCUUACUAGCCUUCUACCCUAAUACGUACCCUUCCAAUUCAGUUUAACCAUCAUUCGGGGACGGAUGAUCCCACGGGAAAGAUGUAAAACCCCAAAAAUUCUAACACAAAUCUUAUCUUGAAAAUUUCUGUAGUCUGAUGGGCCCGUAGAAGUAUCUACAAACCAUAGACAGAUUCGUAGAACCGGGUCCUUGAAAGUUGGUUAUCAAGUCUAAGUUUCACGAACCAGACUACGGGUCGUAUAAGUUCCUACGGUCUCAUGGAAACUAAAUCCUGAAGAACACUCCCAGUAAGGUUCCUACAAAAGAGAAGGACAACCCAUCAAAGUUUCUAUGGGCCGUAGAAAGGGUCCUCAAUCCCCAACUUCAGGAAUCUAGAAAACUCAACAUGUUCCUAUGAGAGGGUCUACGACUCAUAGACUUUUGUACGGACCAUAAAUGGCCUUCCGUAGACGACUCCAGUCAGUUUUUAAGAGGGGUUAUUUUUCUCACUCUUUUUAAAUCUGAACCCCGAAGUUUUUACACCUAAUUAAUGUCACAAGAAUCCCUAGCACAAAAUUGAUUUGGAAGCUUCCUUACCAAUUAAGUUUUGAUAUAAGAUUCUACUUAGAUCAACUUCAAAUAACUAUAUCUCUUAGAUUAUGAAAAUUUAGGGGCUCAUAACCAUUUAGAUUAAAGUUAUUUGAGUCUUAUUUCCAAUACCACCAAUUUUACAUCAAUCAUAGUUUUGAGUAAUUAGUUAUGAUCAUUUUACUAACCUGAUACAGUACAAUGACGAAAUAGCCAACGGGGAAAUACUAAAAAGGAUCAUUUUUGUCUUUUUACCACAACACACCCUAAACAAAAAAUUUGACUCCUAAAAACCUCUAAACAAUCAGAUUUUCAUCUCUUAAUUCUCCAUUCUCUUCUCUCUCAAACUCCAAGGUAAAAUCCUAAGGAAAAUCAAAGCAUAAGACUUCCAUGCAAGAUUCUUUCGAAUCUUUUUCAAGAUUCUUCUUCAAGGUAAGUCUUUCUCCAAGAAUUUUAUUCUUUCAAACUCAAAUUCAUUCAUACAAUUAUGAAUCAUCAAUGAAAAUCUUAGUUCUUGGCCAUAGGGUUUCAAGAAACUAAUUCAAGAAUCUCAAGAAAGGUUUUCUUGAUCAUUCUUCUUCAAGCUAGGGUUUCAAACUUCAUCAAGAACUUUAUUUUUUCCAGGUAUGUAAGGUUAUUCAUAGUGUUGGAAUAGUUCGUCCUCAUGUCUUUCAUCUCAAUUCUAUUAGUGAAACGUUAUGUUUAGAGCAUUAUCAACAAUUUUUUUAAAAUUAAAAUUCAGUUGUGUUUCUUUUCUGAGUUUCAAUUCCUUAACCGUUGAGAUUCUGAUUUCUAUUAUGUAUAUUGAUUCUAAUUUUUUGUUUAUAUUUUGUAUCAUAUGAACCCUAUUUGUUUAUAAAAAUUACUAUAUGAGAUUUCUUAUACAUUAAUUUUGGACUUUAUAGGUAAGUCCAUAAGUAUAUGUUUUAAAUGCAUGUUUGGAAAAGAGUUUUUAAAGAAAGGAUCAAAUGAUUUCAUAUGUUUUAUUUGACAGUUCAGAAAGAGAAAGAAUAUAAUUGAUUUUUUGAAAAGUACUUCGGUAAAGAAAAAUAAAAGUAAAGUAAAGUAAUAGUCUCUUUUUCACUCAAUGUCCCAUAAAACUACGUAGCCAACGUACAGAUGGUUUUCACUACUUGUUCAUAUAUUGUUUUGCUUGAUAUGUAUUUAGUCAUCAAUUAUGUUAUUGUUUUAUUCAGUCAUAUUACACACUUGUAUAUUCAAUAUAUUGAUGUCAUUCGAUCUACAUCUUUUGAUGAUGCAGAUUCAAAUAUUUACGGUCAUCAACAGAUGUUCCGUUGACUUCAUCUACUCGUCAGCUUCUGGUGAGACCUCUCUGAUUUCUGAGGACUCCAUUUUUAUUGCUCUAUAAUAUUAGGAUUUUAAGGUGUUGUGGGUCUUGUCCCGAUACCAAUCUUUAGAUAGUAGAGACUUCAUGGGCAAACAGAGUUAGACGGUUUUCACUAUUUUACUUGGAUGUUUUACUAAACACUUAAGGGUCGUUUGGUAGAAUGUAUUAGGAAAAAUAACGCAUGCAUUAGCAUUGUGUAUUACUAGUACCUUGUUUGGUACUCUUUUCCAACCUAUGUAUAACUAAUGCUUGCAUUAGUUAUACACUCUAUUGUGUAUUAAUGUGUGUAUUGUUAAUGCCAUGAAUUUCUAGGUAUUAGCAAUGCAACGGUUUUAAUGCAUGCAUUAGAUUAUUAUUAUUAUAUUUAUUAUAAUUAUUAUUAUUAUAAUAAUUAUAAUUAUUAUUAUUAUAAUUAUUAUUAUUAUAAUUAUUCUUAUUAUUAUUAUUAUUCUUAUUAUUAUAAUUAUUAUUAUUUAUUAUAAUAAUAAUAAUUAUUAUUAUUAUAUUUAUUAUAAUUAUUAUUAUAAUAAUUAUUAUUAUAAUUAUGAUAAUAAUUAUAAUUAUUAUUAUUAUUAUUAUUAUUAGAGGGUAGUUUUGUCAUUAGUUAAUCUAAUGCAUGCAUUAAAACCAUUGCAUUGCUAAUACCUAGAAAUUCAUGGCAUUAACAUAAUAAUAAUAAUGUGGGGGUAUUUUUGUAAACAAAUAUUUUUUAAUAGUCUUUAUACAAGGCUUGCUAUUUCCAAUACAUCAAACCAAACAAUGUAUAAGAAAUAAUGCAAGCAUAACUAAUGCAUGCAUUACUAAUACAUCAUAUUCAACAUUAUUCUUAUACACUCUACCAAACGACCCCUUACUAUUUAUAUUAAGUAUUUUCAGACAUUGUUUUAAAAGUUCUUUAAAUAUUUUAAAUGCUCAUCUAUUAAAGCUUCCGCGUAUUCUAUUGAGUCAUAUGUGUCAUAGUCAGACAUGUCAAGUAUUUGCUUGCGGACCAGCAAUGAUUCUCGAGUGUCGGUCAUGUCCAAGGUGUAGGCUCAAGGCAUGAAAAUAAGACACAACUUCCACCAUAAGGAAAGAUGAGUAGAAGUUGUUAGGGAUCAUCAUCUUCUUCACCUAUGAAAUAUUAACUGAAUACCUACAACCAAACUAUAUCAAGUGGCAUAGCAAGAGUAGUAUUAGUACGAACAACACGUACUGGCAGGCAUCCAAACCCACCACAUAAUAUAAAGUAGACACCACCCAAAGUCUCUAUCCACGUGCUUCUACCAUCUCAGAUAUAAUACCUAUAAACUAGUAUACUUGAACCCAACCUUGUACCUCAUUAUUCUGCUAUCAACUUUGAUGUUUCCUAAGCUAGCCUUUUAUGUCACUUUAACACUUUCCAAAUUUGUCUGUGAUGUCACCCUAAUAUCAUAUCAUAAUAUAACCCUACUAUCACAUAGAGAUUACCGAAUACAAGGCCACCACUAAUGUCAAAUCAUAGACUAACCUUUCUACCACAUAAUGUCCACGAACAUAAGGUCAUCACUAGCCAUAUCAAUCAACUUGCUUGUCCUUCUAGGAAAGUACAUGACACUAGCGCAUUAGACCAACUCAUCUCUCUUGACUCACAUCCCCAUUAUCAAAUAAGUUCUAAAAAAUUAGACAACCAUGAUCAAUCACAUCACUUAACCAUAUACCAGUGUUGAACUUAACAACCACCAUUUCAAUAAAUCAAUCACAUCAUGAUAAAUAGAAAUUGAGUUUAGAAAUAAAUAAAGCAUUGAGACCUCAUAAACUUAACUCAAUAGUUAAAAUAACUAUGCAGAAUAACACCUAAGGAUUCAUUAUCAAUAAACAUUAAUUAUACCUCAACUAUCAUAAGUAACACAUAAUUUGGACUCUCAAUCCUCACCUUAGAUUUAUAUGCAUAACCCGCAAUACCAUAACCACAUGUAACAACAAUGGAGAAUAUGUAGGCUCUCAGCCACAAUAUCAUGAACAAUAACAUUUGGGUCAAACAAUGCAUAACUACAUGUCUCACCUGAUCACAAUGUAAUUAUUGGGCCCCCUCAUGAAAUCACAAUCACAUACAUGGUCCUCUCACGGAAUUCAAACUCAAGCUAUUAGUAUACCGACAUGGUACCCAAGCCAUCUAUAGUUAGUGUAUCAGUAUGGUGUCUAAAUCAUUCAUAGUUAGUGUACCUGCGUGGUACUUGAGUCAACCAACAAUCACGCAUAAUCACAUAGCGCAAUGGACAAGACCACUUGAAAAUCACAAAUCACAAUCACAAGUUCAUUGCAUGAGAUGACCAACAUGAUGUCAUUGCCUCCCUACCAUGCAUUGCAAAAAUGUUACUACAAGUAGUAAACAUGCAUACAUACUUAAAUCAGAAACAUACAACCAACACCUACAUGGGUAUAUCAAUAGCCUAACACUAGAUCCCUUUUUAUGAACACACAUUCGUUUUCUUGAUUAUCACAACCUUAGAAAUGGUUAUAACCUAACAAUAUCAUAACACUUAAUCUUACCAUUAACACCAAAUCACCCUUAAGAAAACUCAAGACUAACAAUCGAGAACUAGAGAACCACCGGUUUUCCUUAGUCAUUAUCUUUUCUUGCCCUGACAUCAAUAAAUAACAACAUUUAGUCAUCUAAACUCCAUACCCAAAGGUUUAGUCCCAUCAAUCCACAAAAUACCAUGCAGUAGUUAAGAAAACAUGUCUAACUACUCAAUUAAGGAAACCUAGCCUACCUGGGUGCCAAACAAUUGUUGUAGAAGUCUGAUCGCGAAUCUUUAACCCUUUGUAAAGCGUUAGCUUGUUCUUAGUCUAAAAUAACAAAUACAACACAACAUUCAAUCAAACAAUGACCUAAUAACUCCCGGAUUGCAACUAAAUCCUAACCCCCAAGCCAAUAUAUGAUCAUCUUCCCCAACUUAGGACUUUUUCCACCAUGAAAUUAUGUCAAAAGUUUCCUCCCAAGAGUAAUAACUUAGAUUCUAAGACUUAAGAAUCAAUGUACAAGGAUGUGUAGUAAUAAUGUUACCUUUAUUGAUGCUUUCCAUGGAAAAUCAAGUGUAACCUGCCUUAAAUUUCCCCUCCCAAGUCCAAGAACACAAAAUGCAAAAAAUAAGGUUUUUAGGGUUAUUUCUGCAUAAAACCCCGAUUCUAUCACUAAAGCAACGCCACUACAAUCGUGACUAACCUCAUUGUAGAGGUCUGAUCCCCAAAUCAAAUGAAAUCGAUUAAUUUAAUCGGCUUGAUUUGAUUUUUUAAUAUGAAUUAAUUUUUACCCUGAUCGUAAACACCCCGCUGCCCGCCCCAAUGGAAACCAUCCUUCCUAUCAUCAUCAUAUAUCAUAUAUCAUAUAUCAUCAUAUCAUAUCAUAUAUAUAUUAUAAGUGGGAAGCUUCCAAGUUAAAAGUUGAAUUACAAAAAUACCCUUCAACUAAAAAAAAAGAUAUUUUUAAUAAAUGGUUGUAAUAUAAUUUUAUACUUAUUAAGCUUUAAUUGUUUUGUAUAAUAAAAUAAUAAACGGAAAAUGAAAAAACCAAGGAGACGAUGAUCAGAUGAUAAUUUUUUAUACUUAAAAACUUUUGAUUUUGUGUUAGAGAAAAGAACCCUUUCCUUUCUUCAUUUAUUUUUUUAAAAAUAGACCAAUAACUCUAUAAAUUAUCUAAUCUUUCCUCUUCCCCAAUACCAAUAACUCUCUAAAUUAUCUAAUCUUUCCUCUUCCCAAUUUAUUACUCAGUUAAAUCGUAAGUUAAUAUAAUUAUAUAUAUUGAAUGAAAGAUGAAACAACUUCCUGAAUAUACCGUUCAUAUUCCUUUUUUGCACUUAGUAUAAUUUAUAUAAAUGCAUAUUAUCAUAUAAGGUAAUAGGACUGCUUCACUUCAGUUGCAACUUAAUAUUAUGAUAUAUUUUUUUGCCUCAUAUUCUUCGUAUUGCUUUCAUUUAUUUUUUUUCUAUUUCAUGUCUAAUGUAGUGUAUUUCUUUGCUUAUAACAGUUAGGUGAAUAAUUUUUCUUCCAUAUUAUUCUCAUUUGUAAAUCAUAAGGUGUGUGCGUUCAUAUUCUCAUUCAUUCCUGAUUUUUUUAAUAAUGUAGAUGCAUUCUUAGUUUGAAUUUAUUUUUACUAUUUAUUAAGUUUCGUAAUUGGAGUGGUAGUUCCUUCAAAGAAAUAUUAGUAAAUGACAUUUCAAAUAUCGUGAAAAAGAUAUUUAGAGUUGAUUUAUAUUGUAAGCACAUUUGAAUGUUGCAUAUGAUUAUGGUAGUCCCCCUUUCUCAUUUUCUAUCUCCAUUUUCACUCUUAAAAAGAUAAAAAUGAUUUCUUUCCUAAUGUAAUCACCAUUCUUUUGCCUUCUUUUUUCAUAUAAAAGUGAUAGUCAAUUCAUGAUUUUAUAAAAAGAACUACAAAAAUGGAUACGAGGAGAGAAAUGUGAAAUAUAUAUUUUGCACUUGAAAUAGGUAAUUGAUAUAUGUCGUGUCAAACAAAUAGUUAAUUUAAUUUGUAGUUUUAGUGAUAAAGUUUGAUUAAUUUUUAGAGUGUGUAAUUUAUUUUCACCAUUAUAAAUUAAUUACAUACGCUUUAAAUUCAUUGUAAUACAAUGUAAAUUACCUUGGUUAUUAUUAAUUAUUUCUAUUUUUCAUCUUCCUAUGUAUUAACUUUUCUCAUAAUCUAUUUAUUUUCCUUUGCCUCAAAACAUUGCUGUCAGAUAUAUAUAAGUUACUGAUAUUAUUUUGUUUCUUUUUGUUGUCUACUCUUUACCAUGCUACCAUAUCUUAUGUGUCAAUUUAGCUAUCAAACUUUUUUCAGGUAGAAUAUUAAUGACCCAUGAAAUUUAUUCUUGAAAAGCUCGGUGUUUUCGAAGUUAUUUCCUAAUCUAUUUUCCAAGUUAUUAUAUAGAUCUUAAGAUUAUUGAAUACUUAUUUGUUAAAUUGAAGCAAAUUACUCUGUCAUGAAUUUUAUUACAUCUACAUUUUUAUCUAUUGUACUUAAAUUUGACCUUUUUAUAGCAAGGGUAAAACUUAUCUGCACCGAAUGUAUACACCAAAUCAAUACAUGCAUGCUAUGUGUUUAAAUUUAUAGUUUAUUUUACUUAACUAUAAUUAAUUAACAUAUAUUUUACUUCAUCAAAUCACGUAAUAAUGAAAAUUGCAUUAGUUGAGUGCAUAUAUUCGGUGCGAAUACGUUUUUUCCUAUAUAUAAACACAUUUAUGUAAUGAGAAAUAGACAAUGUAACAAAGAAAAUUACAAGUUUAUUUUGUAGAAUAGUCUAGGUGUUCUUAUAAUGCAAAUGUGCUAUAUCUAUAUAUAAUAUAAUAGUGUUGUUCUGCCACAAAAUUAAGGGAAAAUGAUGAAAUUACAUCUCAUCAGAGGGUUUUUUUUUUUUUUGGCAACCAAUGUGAAAAUUACCAUUAACAAACAAACAAAACUUACAAACUAAGAGCAUUUCAACCUCAGUACCUUAACUGGUAUUAGAGGAGUGACCUCAUCAACUCAAACUACUUACAUAAAUUCUACCAAAAACUCCUACAUCUAUGUGCUCUUUUGGUAUUCUUAUGCAUGUCUAUCCUCGCUAUAAGUUCUCGAAUUAUUCCCUCCACUAUGUCAGUAUACUGUAUUUGUACUCCUUUGAAAUGCUUCCAAUUCCUUGCCUUCCAGAUGUGAUACACUAUUGCUCCCCAAAUAGCAGUCACCACCUCUUUCUUAAACUUCUUCCAAUGCUUCAACUUUAUCAUCUCCAAUGUAGUUUUUAACUCUUUUGCGGGAAUAAAGAUGUUGGCCCAUUGUAGUAAUUUAGCUCUCACCUUUGCAACAUAUUCACACUCUACAAACAUGUGCUUGUACGACUCUAUCAUUCCAUUUUGACACAGGCAGCAGCUAUUGUCUUCUACAUAUACUCCCAUAUUUAUCAACCUAUCCUUUGUGAGCAAUCUAUUUUGCAUUGCUAGCCACAAAAAGAACCUCUGCCUAAGUAAUACGACAGAGUUCCAAACUAAUUCAGCUACCUCAAGUUUCUCUUGAUUGCCUAUCAGAUCAUUAUAUCCACUUGUAAUUGAAUACUCCCCAUUUGUUGUAAGGUUGAACUGCCCUUACGUAUACCAUUGUUGCAUCAUAUUUUUCAGGGAGUUUAUUUUCCUCCAGUACCAACUACUAUCAACUGGUGCUUUGUGAGUCCAGACUGUAUCAGUUUUUAUGUAAAUCCCAUGCACCCAUUUCACCCAUAAGGAUUCCUUCCUCAUAACCAAUUGCCAUAAGAGCUUUCCAACAAUGGCUACAUUCCAUUUACCACAUCCUUUUAUAUUAAGUCCGCCCUGCUUCUUUGGAUAACAUAUUUUCUCCCAAGAAACCAAUGACACUUUCCUUUUUUCCUCAUUGCCUCCCCACAAAUAUUCUCUGCAUUUCUUGUCCACCUCUUUCACUACACUCUGAGGUAGGAUGAACACUGAGCCCCAAAAACUGUGUAUGGAGAACAAGACUGCCAAGAUCACUUGAAGUCUGCCUGCAUAGGAAAGUUGUUUUGCAUAGGUGUACUUGAUCCUGCUUGUUAUUUUAUCAACUAGUUGAUGGCAUUCCAUUUUUCCCCACCUUUUUGAUCUCAUCAGAGAGUUAUUAUUAAUAAAACACGAUCGGAUGUAUACACCCAAUUAAUACAAUUUCUAUUAUUUCAUGAUUUAAUGAAGCAAUUAUUUCGUAAUUUAAUGAAGCAAAACAUAUGUUAAUUAAUUAUGGUUAAGUAAAAUGAACUAUAAAUUUAAACACAUGACAUGCAUAUAUACACCCAAUGUAUACACCCGAUGUAGUGGACUCAUUUUAGGAUGCUUGGAGUCAUGUGACUUGCACAUAGAUGGGUCUGUUAAUGAUUUUAACAGAAGUUUCAUGAAGGAUGGAAUUUGCUAAGUUUUGAAUACAUUAAGGAUGAUUUUUGUUCAAUAUGAUAGUUGAAAGAUGUACAUUAAGUUUUGGUUAUAGAUAAAGAUGUUUUUGGUCAAAAACUCAAUAAAAGUAAUAUAAGUAGCAAAUCCUAGCAGGUUCUCUCACUCUUGCCUCUUUUUCUUCUCUCUAGCCUACAUUUAGGGUUUGUUGAUCGGUUCACAAUUCUCCUUCAAAGAUGAUCGUUUUGAGGAGCUCCGACGGAGAGACCUUUGAGGUCGAUGAGGCGGUGGCGCUAGAAUCGCCGACCAUUAAGCAUAUGAUAGAGGACGACUGCACUGACACCAGCAUCUCUCUACCCAACGUUACUAGCAAGAUCUUAGUCAAGGUCAUCGAAUACUGCAAGCGCCAUGUGGAGGUUCCUAAAGCUGAGGAUAAGACCGCCGAAGUGGAUCUCAAGACUUUCGAUGCUGAAUUCGUCAAAGUUGAUCAGAGCACCCUUUACGAUCUCAUGCUGGUAUGGAUCUUUUUAAAUCUAUAUGUAUAUCUUAGUUGAUUCGUAUGUGUUUUUGAUUACGAUGAUCCGAUGGUUCAAUUAUUAGUGUGCAGGAUUGCUGAUUCUUUAAUUAAUUUAUCUAAAUAACUAGAAAGAGGCAAAAGUCAUAUAACUUUUUUAUAUUCUAAAAUUAUAGUUGGAUGAAAUAUGUGACUCCUAUGGUAGAAAUGUCAUAUAGAAGCCAAGGGUGUGGCUUGGUGGUCAAUGAAAUGGUUGAGAGCCAUCAGAGGUUCAAUUCAGUGGAGACAAAAAACAUUAGGUGGUUCAUCCCAUCUAUCCUAGCUUCACCUGGUAUUUGUUGUUGAUGGGAGGUGGUAGAAAUCCCAUCGAAUUAGUCGAGGUGCGUGAAAGCCGACCAAGACACCACGUACAUCCAGUAAAGUGUCAAAGCAGUAGCAAAUAAGAGAAGAGCAGUAUCAAAACCAAAAAGAACGAAUGUUUCUAUAUUUGGAAGUUCUUUAAUUUUUCCAUUUACCCUUAGUGACAUUCUCUUAUAGGCAAUGAUAAUGUCAUUUAGUGACAUGUUUAGAUCACAUGUUCCAACUAAAAAGUACUUUCUAUGUGUUAGAACUUCCUUUAUCUUUAUUAAAUUCCAUUCCCAGUCAAGCACCACCUCCAUAUAAAAUUAACCAGAAGAUUAUUAGUUUUCUGUGAUCAGUUUGGUAAUUUUUUGUUAGGUUUUGUUUAUCUUGUGAAUCUAUGGUAGUUUGUCAAUUCACCUUUUACUUCUGGCUACCAUUGCCUAUCGACAUCGCUUUUGUUUGCUGUCUCUUCCAUAGACUGAGUUUCCGCUCUAGUUUGCUCCUGUUUAAGCUUCAAUGGUAAUAUACAUUUAGUUUAUUAGGGCGGUCACGAAUAAAUUAAUCAAUCAAUUAUGUCUCAGUCCCAAACUAAAUCAUUUCUUCCAUAUCCUUUCUGCUUUAUUUGGCUCCAAGGACAUGUCUAUGUGUAGUUGUUUUGUUGUAGUAAACAAUAAACUGCAGUUGGUUGUAGUUGUUUGAAGUAAUGAAAUGGCGUUUGACUGCUACUUCUAUAGUUCUAUUAGUCUGUUAUGUUUGGCAAAAAACAAUUCCCUUUGUCAUGGUUAAGUGAACUUUCUUUUGCUUAGUACAACAGUAUAGUACUAUAGUGGCUCAUUCUAAAACAAUGGGUAAGAACUAAGAAGAUUUGCUGUAACACUAAAAUUGAAAAUAAAACUAAAACAUAGUAACAUACUUGUAAUUGUAAAAUUAGAGUGAAGCAUAUAUUUUACCUUUAGAACAUGUAGUCAUACUUUAGUUUGUUGCCUAUUUUAAGAAAUAAAUGCUAUAUGGACAUGUUUGCAGCACAUUUUGUUUACAUGUUUGAUGUGCCUCUCUGUUCCACCUCCUGAGUUCUUGCCUGGGUAUUUUGAAUCUGUAGAGUGGCUAACAAUUGUUGAAUGUGUUUUUAAUUGUUAAAUUUUGCUGUUUCUUUUAAGCUUACUUGUAGGUUUCCAUUUCUUUUUAGUUAUUGCUAUUAGCAUUUAAUGAUUUACAAUGGACCCUCCCUCUUAGUAUCUAAUUUUCUCAAGUUUGUAGAGAUUUUCUUUUACCUUUUUCUGUUGAGAGCUUGUAUUUGAUGUUUACUGUGUUUAGGUGAUCUCACCCUAUGGCUGUUGUUACUGUUCCUUGCAUAUAGUUCUUUGCUAUUCGUUGCUAUGUUUCUCCACCUAUUUUUUCGUUUUAUUACUGCUUGGAGUUGCUUGAGCCGAGGGUCUUUCGGAAACAGCCUGCGUACACUUUACCCUCCCAAACCCCACUUUGUGGGAUUUCACUUGGUAUGUUGAUGUUGAGAGCUUGUAUAGAGGUUAAGUAUCCUUUGCGUUGUCUCUUUUCAGGCUGCCAACUAUUUAAACAUAAAGAGCUUGCUAGAUCUGACAUGUCAGACAGUAGCAGACAUGAUCAAGGGAAAGACGCCUGAGGAGAUAAGCAAGACAUUCGACAUCAAGGAUGACUUGACUCCUGAGGAAGAGGAAGAAUUCAGGAGGGAGAAUGCCUGGGCAUUCGAGUGAAUUUGAGUCUGUUAAGCAUCCAUAUCUGUAGAUAGAUCUGCAAUAUACUUUAGUAGAUGCUAUGAAUAACUUAUAUCAGUAAGUGUGUGACUGUUGUUUCUCGGACAUUCUGGCUUUGGCUGUUGAACAUCUUUUGCUCUGUUAUGCCGUGGUUUCUUAUGUUCUAAGUAAAAAUUGAAGGUAAAAUCAUGUUGGUAGCCGAUGUCCAUUUUCAUUGAUCUAUUAUUGGAAAUUCAUAUUGUUUGUUGUGUUUAUCA
rnacentral:lncRNA from 1 species